rnacentral:ncRNA from 1 species
GGCACUUUUAGAAAUGUGCUGACAGAUGUAAGUCCGACGUGCUUCACCGCACGGCCUCAACCAAGGCUUUGGGAUUAC